GAUGAACGCUAGCUACAGGCUUAACACAUGCAAGUCGAGGGGAAACGAUAGAGAAAGCUUGCUUUUUCUAGGCGUCGACCGGCGCACGGGUGAGUAACGCGUAUCCAACCUGCCCACCACUUGGGGAUAACCUUGCGAGAGUAAGACUAAUACCAAAUGAUAUCUCUAGAAGACAUCUGGAAGGGAGUAAAGAUUUAUCGGUGAUGGAUGGGGAUGCGUCUGAUUAGCUUGUUGGCGGUGUAACGGCCCACCAAGGCGACGAUCAGUAGGGGUUCUGAGAGGAAGGUCCCUCACAUUGGAACUGAGACACGGUCCAAACUCCUACGGGAGGCAGCAGUGAGGAAUAUUGGUCAAUGGGCGAGAGCCUGAACCAGCCAAGUAGCGUGCAGGAUGACGGCCCUAUGGGUUGUAAACUGCUUUUAUAUGGGAAUAAAGUGAGUCUCGUGAGACUUUUUGCAUGUACCUUAUGAAUAAGGACCGGCUAAUUCCGUGCCAGCCGCCGCCGUAA
rnacentral:rRNA from 1 species